CCUACGGGAGGCAGCAGUGAGGAAUAUUGGUCAAUGGACGAGAGUCUGAACCAGCCAAGUAGCGUGAAGGAUGACUGCCCUAUGGGUUGUAAACCUCUUUUAUAUGGGAAUAAAAUGCUCCACGUGUGGGAUUUUGUAUGUACCAUAUGAAUAAGGAUCGGCUAACUCCGUGCCAGCAGCCGCGGUAAUACGGAGGAUCCGAGCGUUAUCCGGAUUUAUUGGGUUUAAAGGGAGCGUAGGUGGAUUGUUAAGUCAGUUGUGAAAGUUUGCGGCUCAACCGUAAAAUUGCAGUUGAAACUGGCAGUCUUGAGUACAGUAGAGGUAGGCGGAAUUCGUGGUGUAGCGGUGAAAUGCUUAGAUAUCACGAAGAACUCCGAUUGCGAAGGCAGUUCACUGGACUGCAACUGACGCUGAGGCUCGAAAGUGUGGGUAUCAAACAGGAGUAGAUACCCGGGUAGUC
rnacentral:rRNA from 1 species